GAUUUCUAUUCCCAUUCAUCGUCUUGUGAUGUUUGGAUGUGACAGUACCUUUGAGAGAAAAAUCAAAAUCCCCAGUAAUAAAUAUCAGAUCCCAGUGGACGUUUCCGUUGGUGGAUUCCCGCAGUGUGCAAAUUUCUACGGUUCUUGGUAUUCAAUCCCUGUUUACCCUGAAAGUCUGACAACCAUUGCUCUCAUCCGUUCGGGUUCCCAGUUGAUUGAAUAGGGGCAGCUGUAGCACCUCAAAUU
rnacentral:lncRNA from 1 species